AUGGCCUGGACGCCUGUCCUCCUUGUGUUCCUCUGUCACUGUACAGGUUCACUGUCCCAGCCUGUGCUGACCCAGCCGCCCUCCCUCUCUGCAUCUCUGGGAUCAACAGCCAGACUCACCUGCACCCUGAGCAGUGGCUUCAGUGAUGGUGACUAUGACAUGUACUGGUACCAGCAGAAGCCAGGGAGCCCUCCCUGGGAUCUCCUGUACUACUACCCGGACUCAUAUAAACACCAGGGCUCCGGGGUCUCCAGCAGCUUCUCUGGAUCCAAGGAUACCUCAGCCAAUGCAGGGCUCCUGCUCAUCUCUGGGCUGCAGCCUGAGGAUGAGGCUGACUACUACUGUGCUACAGAUCAUGGCAGUUCCUGGGCCCAGUCUGUGCUGACUCAGCUGGCCUCAGUGUCUGGGUCCCUGGGACAGAGGGUCACCAUCUCCUGCACUGGAAGCAGCUCCAACAUCUGUAGAUAUAAUGUGGACUGGUACCAACAGCUCCGGGGAACAGGCCCCAGAACCCUCAUCUAUGGUAGUAGUAACCGACCGUCGGGGGUCCCCGAUCCAUUCCCUGGCUACAGGUCAGGCAACUCAGCCACCCUGACCAUCUCUGGGCUCUAG